AUUGAACGCUGGCGGCAGGCCUAACACAUGCAAGUCGAGCGGCAGCGGGAAAGUAGCUUGCUACUUUUGCCGGCGAGCGGCGGACGGGUGAGUAAUACCUGGGAAAUUGCCCAGUCGAGGGGGAUAACAGUUGGAAACGACUGCUAAUACCGCAUACGCCCUACGGGGGAAAGCAGGGGACCUUCGGGCCUUGCGCGAGUGGAUAUGCCCAGGUGGGAUUAGCUAGUUGGUGAGGUAAUGGCUCACGAAGGCGACGAUCCGUAUCUGGUCGGAGAGGAUGAUCAGCCACACUGGAACUGAGACACGGUCCAGACUCCUACGGGAGGCAGCAGUGGGGAAUAUUGCACAAUGGGGGAAACCCUGAUGCAGCCAUGCCGCGUGUGUGAAGAAGGCCUUCGGGUUGUAAAGCACUUUCAGCGAGGAGGAAAGGUUGAUGCCUAAUACGUAUCAACUGUGACGUUACUCGCAGAAGAAGCACCGGCUAACUCCGUGCCAGCAGCCGCCGCGGUAA
rnacentral:rRNA from 1 species